rnacentral:rRNA from 1 species
CACGUAGGCACCAAGCGUUAUCCGGAUUUAUUGGGCGUAAAGAGCUCGUAGGCGGUUCGGUAAGUCGGGUGUGAAAACUCUGGGCUCAACCCAGAGAGGCCACCCGAUACUGCUGUGACUAGAGUGCGGUAGGGGAGCGGGGAAUUCUUGGUGUAGCGGUGAAAUGCGCAGAUAUCAGGAGGAACACCAGCGGCGAAGGCGCCGCUCUGGGCCGUAACUGACGCUGAGGAGCGAAAGCAUGGGUAGCAAACAGG